rnacentral:tRNA from 1 species
GUACUACUAGUAUGUACUAGUAGUACUUGUACUACUCAGAGUAGUACUAGUAUUACUUGUACUACUACGAGUAGUACGAGUAUUACUAGUAGUACA